rnacentral:rRNA from 1 species
GGAAUAUUGGUCAAUGGGCGCAAGCCUGAACCAGCCAUGCCGCGUGGAGGACGAAGGUCCUCUGGAUUGUAAACUUCUUUUAUUUGGGACGAAAAACGGGAAAUCUUUCUCACUUGACGGUACCAGAUGAAUAAGCACCGGCUAACUCCUUGCCAGCAGCCGCGGUAAUACGGAGGGUGCAAGCGUUAUCCGGAUUCACUGGGUUUAAAGGGUGCGUAGGCGGGCUGUUAAGUCAGUGGUGAAAUCUUUGGGCUUAACCCGAAAACUGCCAUUGAUACUAUCAGUCUUGAAUAUUGUGGAGGUCUGCGGAAUAUGUCAUGUAGCGGUGAAAUGCUUAGAUAUGACAUAGAACACCAAUUGCGAAGGCAGCAGGCUACGCAUAUAUUGACGCUGAGGCACGAAAGCGUGGGGAUCAAACA